GUAAACACCAUCUCUUUGCAGUUAUCUGAGAGUGAACAACCAGAAACAUACAUACAACUUAUGCACGUGCAUAUAUGUGCAGACAUGUGGACAGGAAAGAAGAACACCUCCUCUUUAAAGAUUUUUGUACGCAUUUUAUGUCGCAACCUUAAAGUUGUGAUAAUUAGAGGUGGGGGGGAAAAAAAUGCGAUGUUGCCAGAGUAAAAAUCUUUUCACAUUUACGUUAUGAAUUUGAAACAUGUCAUACAGACACAAACGUGUGAUAUUGGAGGGAACAAAUGUUACGAGAAUAAAUAUGUGCAUCUCAUUUUGCAGAUUUUCAGAAUAAAUCAAUACAUUCUGAGGGAAAAAAAA